UACAGUUGGACCAUGAGAUACACUUAAUGACUAUUGAAGAUAAGGUAUAAAUAUUUGAACCACCAGAGAAUUGGUAUUACUUACCUCUGUGAGUUUCAAGAGCUUUAUUAAAGAUGGCUAUUGCAUCAGCUUUAAUCGCGGCACUUGUUACCUUUCUAUUACACUUGCUACCUUAGUAGCAUUCGUUGAUAUGUAUUUUGCAUCAGCUGUCAUUGUGGGACUUGCUACCUUUCUAGCAUUCGUCGAUUUCACGAUUGCGAAGCCUGAACCAGAACCAAGUCAUGGACAUAAUGUCUCGUAAAAAUCUCUUCUCUUCUUAAUAGCAGGAUAAAUAUCUCUUGGAUCUACCGCAAUGGAAGCUGCACUUGUGUUAUGAUCAAGAGAAAUAAAAUUUUAAAAACAUAAAAAGCGUGUAUUAUUAAAUCCUGGAGAAUUCAA